CUACUUAGGGGCUGGCUACUGGUCUGUCUGACCACGCCGGUGAGGCCAUGGUCAGGGUGACAUGGAGUGAGAGUUUCAGGUGGUUCGGCACUUCUGCUUUCACUUUUUGGCUUGCUGUACAGACUGCUGCCACGCAGGCUCGCGGGCUGGCUAGGUUGCUCUAUGUAUAUGGACUUUGAACUACUUUACUUACCUCACCUGCUUUAUAACCUGCCUUACCUGAUUUGUUGGCAUCAGUGUAGAAGGGCUGAGAAUUGAACCUGCGACAUUGCACAUGAAGAGGGAUAGAAUUACUCUUUAAUGAAGAUAUUGUUGAGACAAGCUAUGGAGGAUUGGUACCCGGGUACUGCACAGACACUGGGAUAAUUCUGGAACUAGAGAAAGAGCAGCAACUUCAUCAGUAGAUAUGUGUAUACAGACAGAACAGAACAUUUAAAACAACAAGAUAAAGAACUGAAUAAAUCAACGGCUCUGAUAAGAUGAUUCACUCCAAAUUGAUUUUUCAGCAACAAGCCCUGAUGUGGACAAAUACUCUCAAACUCUAGCCUUUCUUGAAUUCAUGUGGGUCUCAGGGUCCCUUUGAGACUGGGUGGGUUAAGCAAUUGGUGCUAUGAAUUCCAUUCAGAGGUUAACAUUAAAGGGGCUGAUUUCAGAACAUUCCAAUGGAAGUGUUCAUCUAGAGACACAUACUUUAAACAUACUCAUGUUAAAGAUACAUGACCCCCAAUAUAUAGUAAAUAAUUUAUAUAUUUAAAAUACAUUUUGAGAAUCUUUAAGCUUGAGUUUGCUUACACGGUUUGUAGACAUAUUAGUAUAUAAGAUACAUUAAGUAUCCAUAUAAGAAACUGAUCUCAGUAGAUAGUUGCCAAUCUACUAUUUUCAAAAUCUU
ensembl:lncRNA